CGGCGCCCCACAGGCGAGUGCGCCCUGGCCCCAGGUGCGGCCUCUCUCCCUUCCUUCUCCUCUCCUUACUUCAUUGGCUCCGGAGUCGAGCGCAGCGCCGGCGUGCUCCCUAGCGGUGGCUGUCGCCGGCGACGGAACGGCGCGACCGGACCCUAGGUUUUGUAUAUUCAUGCUUAUUUAUUCUACCCAAAUCUGGAGAUGGAGCUCAAGGCACAAGCACAGCCUAGGCCAUAUCAACGAGCGUCAGUAAGAUUUUUGGCAACGGGACUACAAAAUUUGAUGAUGCUUGCAUGCUACGAUCUGCAGGAUGAGCAAAGUCUGUAGUUGGCGCUUGUAUUGCAGAUUCAGGUCUCUGGACUUCUCCAAUCAAGAGCAACAGGUCAGGGUCACUCCAUACUUGGAUAGCUUGGAGCCAGGAAUUCUCAGCUAAAAUGGUGUGUAAUGCUUGAGUGAACUCCAUGUCCUCUCCAAACCUAUCACCAAUGAGGGCUCCGGUGUGAGUGGUCUUCAUCUAUGGGACAGCAAAUGAGGGGAUUAAAAUGGCGAGGACAAUAGUGAUGAGCGCCUAAUUCACUUCAGAUGUAAAGCACCAAAUCUUCUUUAACCUAGAACAUCGUUGCCCAAGCCUAGAAUGCCUCCCCUGUCAUCGAACAUCUGGCUCAACUUCCGUUCAGCGCCUACUACAUCCGCAUUCGUGCCUCUGGUGUUCCUGUUGUAAAUGAGUAGAAUUCUGCUUUUCUCAAGGGACAAAGUUUUAUCAUGACGACUGCAUGCAUCCAAGAUGGUGUGGCUAGGGAAUGAGUUAUUUACAGUGGUGGCAGAGACGGAGAUUGAGAGUGGGUAUGUGCACUACCACAUCGAGCAGUGGCAAACAGGAAACAUCUGCUGAGGGAAUCACAAGGGUUGUAGGUGGAAUGAAGUACACAAAAUGCUGACAUCUCUAUUUAUGGGCACAUCGAUGGCGUAAACAUGAACAGACCAAAAAUAGAAGCAACAAUGUUCAUGCUUGAAAGCCAAAGUAAAGAUGUUGGUUCAACAGAUAGUUGUGGGUAACUUAUAAUGUUUAGUUUUAAAUCUAGGAAAACAUCUUUAAUGAGGGUUGUUAACUAUAUUUGUAGUUAUGUUGACAAGUGCCUAGGUGAGAUCAUUUCCAUUGCAAAAUGCCAGAAAUGGCACAACAUGCUUGGAGGCGAUCUUUUGUUUGCCCUUAAGGGCAUAUACCCUCACCCUCUUCACCAUUAGAUUCGCAUUGAGAAGUGUGCAAAUAUACAUCUCAAUACAGAUUCGCAUUGAGAUAUUUACACCUCAAUGCGAAUUCAAUAGUGGAGAGAGAGAGAGAGGGCACAUGCCCUCAAGGGCACAUUUAACUUUACCCAGCAUGUUUGGCAGUAACGAAACAAGGAUUUCUAUGGUGGUCCUAACCAAUUCUAACUUAUGCAAUUCAGUACUAUCCAUAUUCAAAACAUGAGGUAUGGUUCA